rnacentral:rRNA from 1 species
AUGAACGCUAGCGACAGGCUUAACACAUGCAAGUCGAGGGGCAGCACAGGUAGCAAUACCGGGUGGCGACCGGCGCACGGGUGAGUAACGCGUAUGCAACUUACCUAUCAGAGGGGGAUAACCCGGCGAAAGUCGGACUAAUACCGCAUGAAGCAGGGGCCCCGCAUGGGGAUAUUUGCUAAAGAUUCAUCGCUGAUAGAUAGGCAUGCGUUCCAUUAGGCAGUUGGCGGGGUAACGGCCCACCAAACCGACGAUGGAUAGGGGUUCUGAGAGGAAGGUCCCCCACAUUGGUACUGAGACACGGACCAAACUCCUACGGGAGGCAGCAGUGAGGAAUAUUGGUCAAUGGCCGAGAGGCUGAACCAGCCAAGUCGCGUGAGGGAUGAAGGUUCUAUGGAUCGUAAACCUCUUUUAUAAGGGAAUAAAGUGCGGGACGUGUCCCGUUUUGUAUGUACCUUAUGAAUAAGGAUCGGCUAACUCCGUGCCAGCAGCCGCGGUAAUACGGAGGAUCCGAGCGUUAUCCGGAUUUAUCGGGUUUAAAGGGUGCGUAGGCGGCCUUUUAAGUCAGCGGUGAAAGUCUGUGGCUCAACCAUAGAAUUGCCGUUGAAACUGGGGGGCUUGAGUAUGUUUGAGGCAGGCGGAAUGCGUGGUGUAGCGGUGAAAUGCAUAGAUAUCACGCAGAACCCCGAUUGCGAAGGCAGCCUGCUAAGCCAUGACUGACGCUGAUGCACGAAAGCGUGGGGAUCAAACAGGAUUAGAUACCCUGGUAGUCCACGCAGUAAACGAUGAUCACUAGCUGUUUGCGAUACACAGUAAGCGGCACAGCGAAAGCGUUAAGUGAUCCACCUGGGGAGUACGCCGGCAACGGUGAAACUCAAAGGAAUUGACGGGGGCCCGCACAAGCGGAGGAACAUGUGGUUUAAUUCGAUGAUACGCGAGGAACCUUACCCGGGUUUGAACGCAUUCGGACCGAGGUGGAAACACCUUUUCUAGCAAUAGCCGUUUGCGAGGUGCUGCAUGGUUGUCGUCAGCUCGUGCCGUGAGGUGUCGGCUUAAGUGCCAUAACGAGCGCAACCCUUGCCACUAGUUACUAACAGGUGAUGCUGAGGACUCUGGUGGGACUGCCAGCGUAAGCUGCGAGGAAGGCGGGGAUGACGUCAAAUCAGCACGGCCCUUACAUCCGGGGCGACACACGUGUUACAAUGGCGUGGACAAAGGGAGGCCACCUGGCGACAGGGAGCGAAUCCCCAAACCACGUCUCAGUUCGGAUCGGAGUCUGCAACCCGACUCCGUGAAGCUGGAUUCGCUAGUAAUCGCGCAUCAGCCAUGGCGCGGUGAAUACGUUCCCGGGCCUUGUACACACCGCCCGUCAAGCCAUGGGAGCCGGGGGUACCUGAAGUCCGUAACCGCGAGGAUCGGCCUAGGGUAAAACUGGAG